AAAAUACUUAAUACAAUAUAAAACUGUUCUCAAGAUAACAAUUUUGUAUUCUUUUACAAAAUUAUUUUACAAUAAAAAAAAUAAACCUUAAUUUAACCAAAUCAAAUUUCUCACACAGAACUGCAGAAGCGUAGACUACAUACCCGAAAGCUAAAGGUCACUAUUUCUCUCCUCCCCCCCCAGCGCCGCUCAACCCUCUGAGGCUCUGAGUCACCGUUACCGGCACGACGGCACCACUCACCAGCCGCAUCCACUGUCCGCGGCUCACCUCACCGGUCAUCGGCAGCUUUCCGGUACUCCGUCUCCAGUCGCCCAGUUCUUUAAUUGCUCACCAGUCACCUCAAUUCCUCAAGUUACGCGAGGUCGCGAGAGCCCAGCCAGUGAGCCAGAGAAGCCUCCCUGGCCGGCGGCGCCCACCUCAACGUGUUCUCAUCAGGAACUCCGGCAGCCGCCCACCUCACGAGUCAACAUUCACCAUUCGGUCCUGUCCAUUCUUCAAGGACGCAAGUAUGCAACUCACGCUCACGCAAGGCGUUGGUAAGGGGUCAUUUGGUAAGAAAGCAGGCAACAGCUACACAGAGAUCUAUGCAAGCGCUUAUCACGGCUCAAGCUCGAGGUCGAGCUCAAAGGAUCCGAUCAGGGGACGAAGGACGCCCAUUAAUCAUACACAGUCUACUCACCGACGAAACAGCCAAGAGAAUAUCAACCACAUCAAUCAUGCUAGUAUUCUGUUAUUUGACUUUUCUUAUCCAUCAUUUUCCAUUAACAUUGACAUUUUGACAGAGGCAAGUGCUUCAAUUCUUAGAAUUAUUUGAUACAAAAAUAUGAUGAAGAUAAAACUAACAGAUGCUAUCCCAAUUAGCAGAGUCAAUGUCAUUAUUUCGAUCAAUGAAAGAAUCAGGAUUUAGUUUUCCUGAUCUAUCUUGCAACGUCAAUUGAUUAUGUCUUACUUAAUCAUAUCAUGUAAUCUUGUUGUGUAGAAUUAAGUGUCACUAAUCGAUUUAAUUUCGUAUUAGUAAAUCCAAUCAUAAAUCAUUAUUUUGUAAGAAAGUUGACAGAUAUUUCCUGACAUCUCAAAGUAGUCUUAAUGAGUCUGGAUCGAGGAAGUCGUAUAUUAACGGUGCUGGUAUAUGUACACACUGAUCUCUUAACAACGAGGAUAAAGCAUGAUGUUGUGAAGAACUAUGUAUAAGCUUAUCUCUCACUUUAAAAUAAUGUGGUCAAAUUUUUACAAUAAUGAUGAAUAUUUUGGAAUUUGUAUAAUGAUGCAGGACAUGGAGGAUAAUAUCAAGAUAGUAGAAAUGGAUCGCGGAGAUUUUAUAUCAAAUGUUGAAAGCAGGGAUAGCUAUUCGAUAUCAAGCCAACAACAGAUAGAUGAUAGCAGGGUUUAAACCUUAGUUAUUAUCUUGAGAAGAAGUGGUUUGAUUUUCAGGUUUUCUGUAACUCGUGUUUUCUUUAAUUAACUAGAAUAUUUUCUCAAUCUACUCUUGUGUGAUUGCUGGUCUGGAUUGUUUCUUGUAGAUUAGUUCCCAAGAUUUUUAAAAUAAGGUGUUUAAGAGAGAUGCAAUAGGAGUGUUCUGUCCGGGAUUGGCAUACCUGGUAUCAUAAUAUGCAGUCUUAUUUUUGCGUCUUUUGGACCAAGUUGUUCACAUUAUCUCUUGAGAUUGUUGUAUGGACAAAAGUGGAGUGAUGGAGAAGCUUCAACUGCUCUCAGAUACUACUGCUUGUACAGUACAUUACAUAUCUGACGCUGAAUGGCACCAUUUAAAAAUGGAAAUGUAUAUCAGUUGGCCUAUUUCAACAGUUACACCUUCAUUUGCGCAAACACCGGAGUGCAAUCAAGCUGAAGUUUCUCCAGUCGCGCGAACACCUGCGUUUUGAUGCUCUCCUACAUACUGAUUUGCAUGAUCAUUAAGAACCCAACAGGCUGGAAAGAAGGGGGUUGCAUCAUUUUUUUCUUCCUUUCCAUUUUUUAAACCUAGUAGUAACUUGUAAAAUUUACGUUGUUUUUCAAUAUAUUUAAUUAAUGCCUGUUUAUGCAAAAAAAUAUAUAUAUAUA